GCUCGAAAGGGUUGCAGUGAAAGGUGGCUGCGACUGUUUAUUAAAAACACAGCACUCUGCAAACACGAAAGUGGACGUAUAGGGUGUGACGCCUGCCCGGUGCUGGAAGAUUAAAUGAUGGGGUGCAAGCUCUUGACUGAAGUCCCAGUAAACGGCGGCCGUAACAAUAACGGUCCUAAGGUAGCGAAAUUCCUUGUCGGGUAAGUUCCGACCCGCACGAAUGGCGUAACGAUGGCCACACUGUCUCCUCCUGAGACUCAGCGAAGUUGAAAUGUUUGUGAAGAUGCAAUCUCCCCGCUGCUAGACGGAAAGACCCCGUGAACCUUUACUGUAGCUUUGCAUUGGACUUUGAACAGACUUGUGUAGGAUAGGUGGGAGGCUUUGAAGUGGGAACGCCAGUUCUCAUGGAGCCGUCCUUGAAAUACCACCCUGGUGUGUUUGAGGUUCUAACCUGGGUCCGUCAUCCGGAUCGGGGACCGUGCAUGGUAGGCAGUUUGACUGGGGCGGUCUCCUCCCAAAGUGUAACGGAG
rnacentral:rRNA from 1 species